GACGAACGCUGGCGGCGCGCCUAACACAUGCAAGUCGAACGGAGUCAAGAGGAGCUUGCUUUUCUUGACUUAGUGGCGAACGGGUGAGUAACGCGUGAGUAACCUGCCCUGGAGUGGGGGACAACAGUUGGAAACGACUGCUAAUACCGCAUAAGCCCACGGAUCUGCAUGGAUCUGCGGGAAAAGGAUUUAUUCGCUCUAGGAUGGACUCGCGUCCAAUUAGCUAGUUGGUGAGGUAACGGCCCACCAAGGCGGCGAUUGGUAGCCGGACUGAGAGGUUGAACGGCCACAUUGGGACUGAGACACGGCCCAGACUCCUACGGGAGGCAGCAGUGGGGGAUAUUGCACAAUGGGGGAAACCCUGAUGCAGCGACGCCGCGUGGAGGAAGAAGGUUUUCGGAUUGUAAACUCCUGUCGUUAGGGACGAUAAUGACGGUACCUAACAAGAAAGCACCAGCUAACUACGUG
rnacentral:rRNA from 1 species